rnacentral:rRNA from 1 species
CUGGCUCAGGAUGAACGCUGGCGGCGUGCCUAACACAUGCAAGUCGAGCGAUCUCUCGGAAGAGAGCGGCGGACGGGUGAGUAACGCGUGGGUAACCUGCCCUGUACACACGGAUAACAUACCGAAAGGUAUGCUAAUACGGGAUAACAUACUUUUAUCGCAUGGUAGAAGUAUCAAAGCUCCGGCGGUAUAGGAUGGACCCGCGUCUGAUUAGCUAGUUGGUAAGGUAACGGCUUACCAAGGCGACGAUCAGUAGCCGACCUGAGAGGGUGAUCGGCCACAUUGGAACUGAGACACGGUCCAAACUCCUACGGGAGGCAGCAGUGGGGAAUAUUGCACAAUGGGCGAAAGCCUGAUGCAGCAACGCCGCGUGAGCGAUGAAGGCCUUCGGGUCGUAAAGCUCUGUCCUCAAGGAAGAUAAUGACGGUACUUGAGGAGGAAGCCCCGGCUAACUACGUGCCAGCAGCAGC